CGCGGUAUUUUGACCGUGCGAAGGUAGCAUAAUCAUUAGUCUUUUAAUUGAAGGCUUGUAUGAAGGGUUGGACGAGAGGUUAGCUGUCUUUAUAGAAGGGAUAAAAUUUAACUUUUAAGUGAGAGGGCUUAAAUAUUCUAAGGGGACGAUAAGACCCUAUAAAGUUUGACAUUUAAUUUAUUAAAAAAUAGAAUAAAAGGAUAAAGGGGAUUUAAUAAAGUAUUGUUUUGUUGGGGCGACUAGAAUAUAAGUGAUUUAACUGUUUUGAUUUUAUGUUCAAAUAUAUUUGGAUUCUUGAUCCUUAUUAAAGGUGCUAGAACAAAUUACUUUAGGGAUAACAGCGUAAUUUUUUUUGAGAGUUCUUAUCGACAAAAAAGUUUGCGACCUCGAUGUUGAAUUAAAGAAUUCUUUAUGGCGCAGGAGUUAUAAAAGAGGGUCUGUUCGACCUUUAA
rnacentral:rRNA from 1 species